rnacentral:lncRNA from 1 species
UGGAAGUUACUUGUUUUGAUACUCAAAAUUAUUGAUUCAAAACAGUGAGUAAACUACCCUUUUUCUUGCACUUUUGCUGUGAAAUUUUCGUGACAGCAACAUAGCCAAAAGAGUGGCUGUUUUGGAGCAUCAAACCAACAACCAAAAGUUCAUCUUCAACUUUCCAUUCUUCAAGUAUUCACAUAAGGUGAGUUCAUACCCCUACAUUUUCAUGUUUUAUUCAAGUUUUAAGGGGGGGAAUACAAGUUAGAACACUAAACAUAACUUAAAUUUAAAUGACAGCUUUCUACAGAAAAGUUGAGUCCUGUUCACGGACUGUUUUGACCAUCUUAAACUUAAUAUCUUUCAAAACUGUACAAUAUGCAAAUAGUUCAAGUUUAUACCUUUCUAAUGACUACUCGCACGCGUUCAUACGAUUUUUCUACAAUUUAUGGCGAUUUUUAUAAAACUGCCUGUCAUUUCAGAAGUGAUUUCGGACCAGUCUGUGAAGAUGUUCAUUUUCACACUAGUUUGAGACCACUAAAAAUCAUAAUAAAAAUUAGGAACAAAGUAGACUCAUUUUAUAAACUCUCAGAGGUGACGGAUUCAGUUUUUGACUUACGAGGAUUUUUCUAUGAGUUUUCUAAAAACAGGGACAGUAAAGGGUAAAACUGUCAAAAGUGGUUUAUACAUUUAUUAACACCUUCUAACAUUUUUUAGCAAUGUUUAUACAUUAAGGAAGUUAAAACACAAUCAUUUAAAUAUGUUUAAUUACCAUUUUUACAAAAGUGAUAAGUACAAAAAGGUCUUUAGUAUCAAACUUAAGGAUUAUUUCAUGCAAAGUUUCUAAUAAAAACGUAAGAAUAUGAACAACAAUUACGAAACAUACCAAAUCAUCUUUUAAAAUUUAUACAUAUAUAUAACCAUUUACAUAUAUAUGUUUUGUUUACAAACUUGUCUUCUACAUCAAAAAUAUACAUAUAUAGUUUACGAAACUCUACUCCAUUUGUAUCCUAUUGAGCAAAUGGUAAAAUAUUGUCAAAUGCAUAUCUAAAGAUUUCACGUCGUUUUUCAUAGCUAUCCCAUUCUUAGGGGAUGAUCAUUUAUACAAACAUUUUCAACACAAAAACACGUAAACUCGUUGAACAAAUUUAGUGAGUUUUGUCUUCAUGGUACCUUAUAAAGUACACACGAAAGUCUUGUUAAAUAUAACCAGAGUCUCUUGUUGGGAGAGCAUGAUAGUUGUGGAUAGAUCUAUACUGGGACCGAAAAUCCCUCACCUUAGCUGCUUGCAACAGCUAGACCGGUAGGUCUAGGGGUGACAAAUGUCAUAACGAAACUGACACCUGAAGAACGUUGCGAACAAGGCAGUCUGGGUCAAUCAAGCAUGGUUAUAAGAUAAAAAUUAAAACUCACAUAAAACAACAAUGACACUUUUAGUUUACGCAAAGACAGUAUUCAAACAGUUUUAUAUACAAACAAAACUGCAUAACAUCAUUUUAAGUAGGAAAAUUACUUAUACGCUUCGGUCUUGGUUCAUUUAAGGCCAUAUGUCAUUUUAGGAAAAAUAUAGGAUUUUUCGGAAAACAAACAUUACUACAUUUCAUAGAAAAGGUUUACAAAUAUACAUAAAAAUGCUUAUGAGCUCACCAACUUAAAUGUUGAUACUCUCUUUUCAAAUAACUUGUAUUCUCAAAAAAUCAGUAAAUCAGGUAACAACUGGCUUUGAGGAUGGGACGCUUAGGCGUCUAAACAAAUCUUUUGACAACAUAUUGUAAUUGAUAUUUUGAAACAUGUAAUAUGUACAAAUGAUGUAAAAUUUUCAAUUAUAUAUAUAUGUUGGUUAUGUUUGCUUUGAACAUUUAUACUCAACUGUUAUGAUACAGUACAUGAUAUUCACCUACCCCUAGACGUUUCCGCCAUCCUGGUUUGGGGGUGUGACAGAUUGGUAUCAGAGCAUUGUUUAUAGUGAGCUAAGUAUAUCAAACCACAUAAGAUAUACAAACUAUAAAUACACAUGGACUAAAACUCUGUGACUUAAUAAUUUCAAAACAGGAACAUUAGGGGUCCUUUGCUGGUAAGUCUAUGUUUGCUAAGUGUAUACAUUAAGGUGGUAUAUACUAAUGGUUUUAUAGACUUAGAAUUUGUGAUUUUCACAUUACUUCCUUUUCCUUGUUUGGAUGUGGAUAUAAGGUAAGAUCACUUAUGCGACUGACUAAUCAAUAUUGACUGUAUAUUACCUGUAUUCACAAGGCAACUAUAGAAGGACCAGGAAUGGACCGAGAUUUCACGAAAAAUGUAAGUGCAUACAAACAUACUAGUAAGGAGUCAUAUUGGUAACAAAACAAAAAGUAUUAAGAUAAGUUAAACACUAUGAGUAAGCCUCGGGGUAUGUAAUCAGGUCUGGGAUGACGAGGAAUAGUCGUAAUGGAUGACGAGUCUAAAACUUACCAACAAACCAUACAAAGAAAACUUCAACAUACAAAUUUAAAAUACUAUAGGAGUAUUUUGCGUUACUAUAGAACCACACACUUAGAUUCUUCAUAUGCUUCUUACCCCUAUUCUUGCAUAGGCAUAUCAGCUAGACUUCAUCUCCACAUAGAACCCUACUAUCCUACCACCGAAGCCAACAGAUGGAUUGAGAAGGAUCCAGAAGAAGAUUUCGAAGAGUACCAAUAGAUGAAAUAUGAGGAAGAAGAUUUCCGAGAAGGGACCAAAUGGAGAAAGAAGUUCGGGAGAUACCAUCAAUAAACCUUACCCUAUCAAGAGGAGUGUGAGAACCUCCACCUCUCAUUUUAGGAAGCAACCCGCAAUUAACUACCUAGCCACACAUAUAGACUGGAGAGGACAACCGAUGAUCCAUAACCGACAUAAACUCACUGCACCGUACUUCGGGCCAUAGCACCCAUAGACCGGCAAGCAGAUUAAGAGAACAAUACAGAUCACCUACACUCCUUAGAAAAGGAGAUAGUCGUUAUAGGAAAAAGAACCCUUACAGCUACAACCUUGACAGUCAUCACAUAACAGAGAACAGAGGAGGCCACUCGCGAAAUAGAAUCUUGCCGACACAUGAAGGUAAUCAGCAUACUGGCGCAACACUAGUUCUAUAAAUAGAGCCUGCAACAUUUCAAAUUGCGGUAACAACCGCCGUGACAGCAGUCAUGGCACACCUCGGUGCUAACAACACAAAAAAAAGCGGGAACGGCAUCGAAAGUUCCAAUCAUAAUAACAACCAGGGACACCCCUAGUAUGUUCCUGCAACGACGCCCCAACUUACAAAGCUGAGAACGCCCACAACAAUGAAGGAGUACUACCAAAGAAACGAAAGUUCUGGACCAGGAGAAAGAGCCCUCCAAAUCAAGGACCUACCAAAAGACAACAAACAGUGACAUUCCAUACCACCACCAUCCCUACUACCUCAAUGCCGACAAGGCCAUAUGUUGGAAACCUGCCAAAAUGCACCAAAUGUAGCUUUCAUCACAAAGGAAAGUGCAGGGAAAUGCACUACAAGAACUGUAACAAAAAGGGGCAUACCACAAAUUUCUAUAGGGUGCCGGCUCAACAGACCGCCCAGAACACAAAAGCUAGGAUGAGUUGGACUUGCUACAGAUGUGGAGAAGUAGGGCAUUUCAUAAAGGAGUACCCGAAGACUAAAAACAAAUAUGUCAGGAGCGUCGAAAGUGUUUUAGCAACAGAGCGUGGGAAAGCAAUAAUAGAUCCCCACUGAGAUUCCGGUACGUUCAUUCCCGAUAGCACAUAUACAUGGAUACUAUAUAAUAGCAACGCGGAGAGGAGUAUUGUGAGUCAUAGAUUUAAUCAAUUUCUCAACUAAAAACCUCAAAAACUUAAACGAAAUAUUUACAGUAGAAUUGGAAUAAUCAAAAGCACUAGAGACGUGUACAUAGGGUGCACUCUAACACUAAAUCAACCAAUUCAUUCAAAUCAUCCUAACACCGGUCACAAUAAAAAUUUACGACAUUUUCAUUUUAACAACGUAUUAGUUAGUUUCCUCGCCAUACUGAUAUCAUAUAUUACGAAAAGGCCAUUCGCCUAAACCAUCGAGUAAUAGAACCCUCAUUGUCUAUGGCGACAAACCGGGCACAAACCCCCGACUCACCUUUUACAACAAGACUCAGAAGUACCUACACAGGAGGUACCACGCCGUCCUAGCCCAUGCUGUGGAUAAGAAACAAGAAGAGAAAGACAUCAUGGAUGUUGAAAAAGCCCGUAACCUUCUCGAUAUAUUCCCAGAAGAUCUCCUGGGAAUACCAUCCGUACAACAACCCAAGUUCAAAAAUAAACCUAAGUGCAGUAGUUGUGGAAAAGGGUUGUUGUAAAUGCCAUCUCACCUAAGUUAAUCACCCCACUCAAGUAGAGACUAUGGACCCACACUAGUGAAUCUAUGAUUACUAAGUGUAUAUAUUGGAGCCCUAUAUAAUUAAGAUUCUACAGACUUAGGGUUGGUAAUUCCGCUUUAAAUCCUUUUCCUUGUUUGGAUGUGGGCUUAGAAUAGAAUCACUGAUUUGAUUGUCUUUUCAAUCUUAAUUAUAUAUGACUUAUAAACACAAAGAGAUGAUAGAUGAAUCAAUUAUGAGUCAUACCAUGAACUCCAUGACAAGUUACACAGGACAGCGAAUGGACACGUUGCCACUUGACCGAGCGUAGACAGAUCAACCAAACCCACACACUUUCUACCGACCAAGGCUACAAAGAAAAAUAGAAAAGCUGACAGGAGCAUAUCACAAGAAGAUUGCAAGACUGCAUAGUAUACCACUAUCUAUCAUUUUGGAUAAGUGACAGGCAAUUCGCCUCGUGUUUUCAAUAGUCGUUAAAGAAGUCCUUUUUAUCACCCUCAAACUGAAAGACAAAGAGGAAGAACCAUUCAAUGAAUCCUUAUACAACAUCAACUGUUACAUUAAGUAUUAACAUCAAAGUUGCGUCAUUCGAAGCUCUCUGCAGAAGCGAGUGUAGAUCACCUCUUUGUUGGGCUAAGGUAGGUGACACGCAAAUAGCUAACGGGCAAGUUCCUAACAACAGUUUCACCAGCCCCCAGAUCAUACGAGAAACUAUAGCGAAGAUUGUUCAAAUCCGUGAACGAUUGAAGGCAUCCCAGGAUCGGAAGAAGAGCUUGUCUGAUGAGACUCUUGUUAUUCCACUUGAUGAAAUUGAAAUCAACGGGAGUAUAAACUUCAUCGAAGAACCGGUGGAAAUCAUGGAUCAGGAGGUCAAAAGGACGAAACAAAGUUGCAUGCCCAUAGUGAAGGCUCAUUGGAACGCCAAGCAAGGACUGAAAUUCACUAAGGAAUGCGAGGAUCAAAAAAAAAAACACCCCCAAUUGUUUAGUGAUAUGUAACAACGUAAAUUUUCAAACAAUUUUUCAUUUUUAAAACAUUCAUUCACUCAUAAAAUAAUGUCAAAACACAUUGUAUCAAAUGUUAUCAUCACAAAACAUCUCCCCAGAAUCUCAAACAUAACUCCAAUGCGUGUGUGUACGAAUCAUGCCGGCGCCUUCCCGCGCUCAUCACUAGUACCUGAAACACAUAACACAACAAAUGUAAGCAUAAAUGCUUAGUGAGUUCCCCAAAAUACCGCAUACAACAUAUACGCCACUUGAGGCUAUAAUACGACCUUCCGGUCGAUGUGUCUCAGUGGGACCCUCGAGUCCCGUAGCUCGUUGGAUCCUCUGGUCUGGUCAUAGCUCGUUGGGCCCUCCGGCCCGGUCUGUAUCGUUGGACCCUUUGGUACGGUCUAUAACAUCAUACAACAUACAUAUAACACAUAGAACAUAAUCUCAUACAUAACACAGAGGACCCUCUGGUCCAUACAAUAUACCACUCUAGGUAACGUAUAGUGAGAAGACUCACCUCAGUGUCUCGGUAAAUAUCUGACUCGGCAGGAAUGUGAUCUAGCCUCCGCCUAAUCACAUAAAGUAAAUACUUUCAUAAAUACAACUGUACUCAACCCUAAAGGUCAACAAGGUCAACGGUCAAACUUUGACCCGACUCGUCGAGUGCACUAGGGCGACUCGGCGAGUCUACACGUGUCCACUGACUCUCUUAGUCCCUCUCUUGGCACGUCGAGUACUUCCCAUGACUCGACGAGUUCCACCUGGCAUGAAUCAUGGGGCCACCCCGACUCAAGUCGCCGAGUUUCAAGAACAAGUCGGCGAGUUCCACUUGAACUCAACCCCCCUGACUCUCCCUGACUCACUGCGUUAUUCCCCAACUCGGCAAGUCCACUCGCCGAGUGAUUAACAGGCAACCUUCAUACUACUCGCCGAGUCUGUUCUUCGGACUCGGCGAGUUCAUGCCAUGCACAAAAGCUAUACAACUCCUGAGGUCAGAUCUGUUCCAUACAAUCAUAGAUAUGGCCUCCCCAAGCAUGAUAAUCAUGUAAAGUUCGGACCUUGGCACUCAUAUAACAUCUAAAUGGUCCAAAAUGGUGAUUUAGCCCCAAAAAUGACAUCCCAAGCUCAUGGCUCCUAAAAUGACUCAUAAAGCUCCAAGGGUUAAGGCCUCUGGACCUCUUUUGGUCCAGAACACAAACUUGAGAAGGGACCAAAUGCUCCACUUAAUCAACCUCUAAAAGGGUUAGAAAACCCAAACACUAAGAAUCAACACCAAAACUGAAGAAGGUCUGAGAAUAAUACCUCAAUACAAUCUUUAUGAGCUCAAAAACCACCAAAUUGCACCUCCUUCAGCCUCCUCUUGCCUUGGUCACUUCCUUCUUGUAAAAACACCCACAAAAGGAUCAAGAAUGGCCUCUCCUUCCUCACAAACGCUCUAGAUCUCUUAGGGUUUCUCUCUGGGGGGGGGUUGGUGGCCGCAAAUGACGGCCCUAAGGGCCUUUAAAUAGGUCUCAAACCCUAGAAAUUAGGGUUUCAUUAAACAGCAGGGACUCCCCGAGUCCACUCGUGAACUCACCGAGUCCAGCUGUGAACUCGCAUACGAAUCCGCGACCAUACUCGGCAAGUUUAGACGCCAACUCGCCGAGUCUCCCCACAAUAUUCAAAAAUAAAAGAACAAAUUAUAAUACUUGGGAACUCGGAUGUUACAUGAUAUCCCAUCUACAAGUUGAAUUUCGGGGCGAAAUUCUUUUAACAGGGGGAGAAUGUAACAAUUGGUAAAAAUAGGAACGAUCGUACGAUGCUAUGUUUUGAUUAUUAAGCAAUAUGAGUAUCUUAUCAAGAAUGGUUGAAUAAAUUUAACCUCUUGUAUUCAAAUAAGUUAUUGUGAAAUAUAAAACAAGUAACUGUUGAUAAAUUUCGUUAUGAUGUAUGACUAUGAACCAUCACCGGUUUGUGAAAUUAGCAUAUAACAUCAUUUGAACGCAACAAACUUAAUUUUUGUAUCAACAUGUAUCUAGUUGAUAGUUAAUUUAGGUUCUAUAUAAAACGUGUGCUUAAUAGUUGUGGAGGAUCUAAAUAUGACAAAUGUACGAACCAAAGUGACAAAACGUGUUUAUCGAUAUGGUUAACCGAUUAAAUAUCACAAAAUUAUACAUUAGUCAAUAAAUUUUAUAUUUAAAUAAAUAAAAAUAUAAAAUGAAUUAUUAUAAGGUAUAAUUAGAAUGUAUUUAAGUGUUUUUGAAUAAAAAGGAUAAAACAUAAACAUUAAAGUUCAAAUACAUAAAAACUACAUUGUUAUUUUAUACUAAGUAUACAUGUAUAUAUUUGUACAUAUGUAUUAUUAUCUAGUGAAUGACUAGUUAUGGGUCAUGAUUUAAGUGAUUUCAUGUAAGGAAUAUGAUGUAUAAAUCAAUUAAGAUAAGAGAAUUGGUGGAGAUAUGUGCCAACUUAACUAAUAAGUGCUUAAUCACUUAAGACAUUUUACUAAGAAUGCUUAUUAAUCCCUCUUCUAAUUUUCGAGAUUAAGACCUUCCCUCUCCUUAACUAGAACUCCUAACUAACUAAAUAACUAGUAGUUAGUUAGUUAACUAACUCUAUCUCUAAACAACCACCCAAGCAAGUGGCUAGACAAGAUCACAUCACUUAAACUCACAUCCCAUCACAAGAUAGUCUAGGUUUUGUCCCCUUAUCCUCUCCCACCCUUUCCUCAUUCAUAAUCACGAAAUUUCCUCUUCAUUUAACCCUCAAUUCACCAGCCCAUACUUCAGGGAAUUACUCUCAACCUUCAUCUCAUUUUCAGCCACAACAAACUUCCUUCCAAACCCAUCAAAACCAUGAACUAAAGGGCUGAUGUCCUUUUUGUGUUUCAGCCACCAUUUCACCUAUCUACACCAUCCUUUUUGAUGAGAAUUGUUAUCGAGAUUUGAGAAAGCAAAGUUUGAUUUGAGUGAUUGAAGAUUUAGAACACGAAGAGUAAAUAUUAAUCAGAUCUUAUAUUGAUGAAGACUGAUUACAAUAUAAGUAGAAAGGAGAUAUCUGUUAAGGAAAAAAGUCCCUUUCUNAAGGAGAUAUUGUUAAGGAAAAAAGUCCCUUUCUACUUCUAACCUCAGUCUCUAUUUAUAGGGAACAUGAGUGUACAAAAAAUAUACUAAGUCUAGACAUUUGUAUUUCGCACAAAAAUGACUUAGUAAAAUAACAUAAAAUGCGAAAUAAUACAAGACACAAUAUUCGACUUUUACAAUUUUACAUCUACAUUCUCCCCCUUUGUAAACAGUCGAAGCUAUUCAUCCUAUAAGUUUUUGAACAGCUGAGUGGAUUGUCUUUCGCACUUCUCCAUACCAGGAGAUCACCUUCUUGAGAUCUUUCUUGUCUCGUUCAUUAUUCUUCUUGCAAUUGUUCAUACGAACAAUAAAGUGUGUAUAUUGCGAAGAAUUAUAUCUUUCAAUCUCUGAGACUUUGAACAAAAACUUCUUAGGUUUCCCUUUUGUAUCUCUUCCAGAAAACACCAUGCCGAACGGUUUAAGGCAUAUUUCCCCAAAAACAUAUUUUGAUAGUGCUGAUUGAGAUAAAGUUUCUUCCCAAGGAACAUUUACUUCUCUUCCCAACACAUUAGCCAGUUCGUCAUCUGUAAGGGCCAAACAAUCGAAGUAGUUGUCAAUGAAUGUUUUCACAUGUGCGAAUCCAACCUUGAACACUUCAGUCUCAGAGCCUUUGAGAUUAUUUUCUUCCAUAUGCUUCAAAAUCAGAGCUACUUGAAUUAAAUCAUUGCAUUUCAUCAAAGGAAAAUCAGCUAUCGUGAAGUCAUACUGCUUGUUGUCUGCUCUGACAACAAAGUAACGAAAAUUUUGAAGCAUAUCUUCAAACAAUACGUCUUUCUUGAUUGUCAGCACCUUUUUGAUCUUCAUUAAAGACCAAACUUCAUCUGGAUUUUUCCCCAACACAGCAUGAAAUCUGAUUUUCAUGUGAGUAUAAUCACCAGGAUUAUCAAACUUCUCACUUAUUUUGUAUUGUGCAGUGAUGAAUAGCAUUUCAUUUAUUGGAACAUCGAGCUGACAAUUGUCUGAAUUCACAAUAUUAUAACUCCUCUUCGGCUUCUUCUCAAAUUCGUACAUCUCCCUUCUGACAACUUUUGACUCUAUUGUUUCGUAAGAAUAAAGUUUCGCAUGAUCUGCUUUGUUCAUUGAGGGAGGAUCACUUGCCCUCUGCCUCAUAAUGCUCUGUACUUGCCUCAUUCUUUCCAGCUCGGCUUCAGCCUCAGCUUUCUUCUCCUCCUUUGAUUUUUCAUAUAAAAUCACUUUUCCUUUUCCCACCGUAUCUGUUUGNUCCCACCGCAUCUGUUUGAGGUUUUGAACUUGAACCUCCAUCUUUUUCUCCAAUAACGAUUCCUUUGGCAAUCGUUUUUGUGGUUACUGUGGUUGAGGAAAUUGGCUUCGUAAUUAUGGGAAGAGUAGUUAUAAGUUGAGUAGAUAUAACUUUCCCAACUGUCUUCGCAUCUUCUUCUUUACUUAAACUUUUCUCUCCCCCUUGCACCCCUGUGAAAGCAGGUGGGGCACUCCUUGGUAGUAAAGAAGUAAAAUUUGCAAGUGGAGGAAGAGCUUUCUGAAUUGCUUGCUCUAAAGUAUUAAUCUUUAGAGACAAGAACUCAGGAGUGAGAAUUUGUGUUGUUGAAGAUUGCGAAACCAUCAUCUUAAGCUCAGACACCAACUUGAAUAGCUGAUCAAGCUUCUCCUUUGUUUCUUCAUUAUUUGCUUCAGAAUUAGGAACAUCAACAAACUUUUGUACUUCUGAAGAAACCUCCGCAAUCUGCUUUUGAACUUCAGUAUUUUGAGUAUGAAUAUCUUGAAGCUCCUUCGGAAGUUCAGAUUUUAACUCUUGAAGCUUAAAGUUGACAUCUUCUCGAACCCUCUUCACAUCUUGUACAAAAAGAACAUGACGUUCUUUUGCAACAGCUUUCAAAUCCUUGACUGCUGAAGAAAAAUUGCUCCCUUGUGCUUGAAUGCGAAGCUCAUUAUUCUUGUCGGAUUGAUCAACUUUCACCAUAAUCCGCUUCUCAGCCCCUUUGAUCAUUACAUAAACCUCCAUAGCUGAGAUAGAAGACAUCCUGCCAGUAUCAACUUGCAAUUGAAUAAUAGUAUUCAAUUUCUGAUUCAGGAUUUUAAAUUGUUUUCCUGUCAUAAGCAUAUGAUCAGGAAUAUCCUCCUCCUCUGAAUCAAAAUGAAUAUCUUCAAUGAUCCCUCCAAAGGCACCUCCUUCAGAUUUAGUAUUAGAUAAAGGUUGUGAAGGUUGAGGAUUUUCGGGUGAUUGAGAAGGAAAAAGAGUUGUAAAUAGGUUUUGAAGAGCAUGAUUAAAAAUUGAUGAAGUGGUGGAUAAAGUUGUAACAGGAAGUGAAACAACUGGUAAUGAAAUAGGUAAGGAGAUUGGGAUUGUGGUUGCAACACUCAGGAUAGGUGCCCCCGUAUCAGAUACGUUGACAACCGUAUCAGAAAUAGGUACCUCCUCAGAAACUGAUUUGGUAGGGACUAUUUCGAGUGGUUUGGUUAGUGGUAAGGUGGUAGGAAUUUGCGAAGUAUGAAUGAUCGGUAAUGAAACAUUUACCGUAGAUGACACUCGUGGAGUUUCUGGUACAAUUUCUUCAUUAGAUGACUCAUUACGAAUCACCAUCUUCCUUCUUUUGACAAGUGUACGUUGCAUGUUUUUGGCAAUAUCUUCAGCUCUUUGUCUUUUAUUGUCUGGAGAAACCGGAGCUGGAAUACUGCGAAUAGUGACACCUUUACUACUCACCUCAGCCUUGAGAAUUUUCUUCAAUACCCAGACUUGGAAGGUAUUACUUCUUUCUUUGAUUUCGAUGAAGUUUCUUCAAUUUGAAUAUCUUCAUCUUGAACUUGUUGUGAAGAAGAACCUUUCGCAUCCUUCUUUAUAAUCUUCUUCUUCUUUGAUGGAGCAGCAACAUCCAGUAAUACUCCAGUCUGCUCUGAUUGAUCUACAGUUCGCAAAUAUCUCACCAAGACUUUGUGAGUUUGAGAUACUUUGCGAAGCAUCGCAUCUGGAAUGCAAGCCACAUGAGUAAAGAUGGCUUCAUCAUCUUCUACAAUCUUUGGAAACUGAUACAAAGAAAAUUCUGCAACUUCAGCAUCCUCCAUUACUGGAAUUGAUUCUUUUUCAUAGAUCUUCUCCAAAAUUAAGCUCCAAUAUCUUGCACAGGAGAUCCCCCUUUUCCGAAUUUGUGUUUUCGAGACUUUUAACAAAUUCCUUCCACAAUUGGGUUGCAUAAUCAACAUUUAUAUCAUAGUAUAUGCCCAUAACCAUGGCAUAUACUUCCAUUCUACCUCUAUCCAGUCCAACUGAUCUUCCUGUUAGACAUCUUAGAAAAAUUCCAAAUAAGAAAUUCCACAUGCACGGCAACCCAGACUUUCUAAAGUCACUGAUUUUCUCAAGCUCCGGUUGAUGACCCAUCUCGUUGAACAUGUGAAUGAUUUGCGAGUUGACAGGUUUGACAAACGGAGGGUUGUUUGGAAUCUGCAAGAUUUCAACAAACAUCUUUUUGGACAGUUUAACCCGUUUGUUGUUGGUUAAAUUGAAGGUUAUCACAUCCGCUGUGUGAUUGUAUGAUGCCGUUGAAGCUGCCAAGGAUAACCAUAUCAUUGGAACAGAGAAGGAACUGAACAUGGCAGUUGACAGAGGUGAUCGUUUCAGGGCAACGAUAAGCAUCUUCAAUUCUUCAAGAUACGAAGAUACAUUUGGAUUAACUUGAUAGUUUGUGCUUUGGAUUUUCAUCAGGGAUUGAGAAGAACUUCAUCAGUGUUGGAUUGAGUGGCUGCCAUUUGUAGGGUUUGAAAAAUAUGAAGUUUUAAGCAAGGUUGAAGCUUUGAAGGUUUGUGAGAGUUUUGUUUGCGUAACCGUAUAUGGUGUUCUUGAUCCCCCUUUUAUAGUUUACUAAAAGUAAUUUGAAAUUGAAGCGGGAUGCAUUUAUUGUUAUCCGAUGUGGCACCUUGAAAAUCGGAUCAUGACUGCAAUAGAUAACCAUGCUUCAAAAAGUAACUGUCACAUCUCCUUGAAAACCGGAUAGAAUACCAACCAUCUUGAAUACACAGCCUGUCAAGUUUCCCGUUAUAGAAUCUGAAUCGUUAAAACCCUUCGCAUGGAGUCAAGGCUCUUUCACUUUUGGGAUAUAAAGUGAAGUCAUAUGCCAGAUUUGCGAAAUCAUCAGUCUGAGUUGGUUUUACUCAGAACCUCAAGGAUUUCGUGUGUGCAUUGUGUCAACAGAAUAAGAUGAGAAACAAAAAAAUUUGGAAUGUUGUGAUGUCAAAAAUUUAGUUUGACAGGAAUGCAGUAAAACCCCAGGCAAAGGUUGCUUCGUUAAUUAUCAAGAUAGAUAAUCAACAGCUUGUGUAGUUUCCCGUGAAUUACAAUCGAAUACUUGUAGAGAAGUAUCGAAGGGCUUCUUUUAAAAGACAUUUGAGAUUGGUUUGAAAUUUCAUUACAUAUCAGCCUUAACAUAAGGUGAGAAAUUGUAAAUGAAAUUACUUGUUUGACAAGUGUAGUCAGUGACAAGAUGGCUUGUGAAGAUAUUUAUCAUGACUAGGAUUUGCGAAUGAAACUUACACUGAAAUCAUAUUCAAAUUUUUUUUUUGUUCUGGAUCUUGUUGGGUAACAAAUAUUUUGGGUUGUGAAUAUUUGAUCAAGACCACACAUACGAAUUGAAUAUGAUUUGAAGUUUCGAAAUUUUUGAUACUGAAACAAAGGUUUCGUAAAAAUCUGGAACAAAGUUCCCCGUCAAUUCCUUAAGGUUUAUGAUUUUUGGGUUUCACUUCCAUCACGGACUCAUGAUGUUAGAUCAUAAACACAGACUUGUGAUUUGUCUAGGUUUUGAUUGGUUUGAUCAAAGACCUCAAGGACAAAUCUCUUCAAAAAUUUGGAGUGUAAGAAUUGUUUGGUAUAAAAAGAUUGGAUAAGAAUCGAAGUGUACCUCUGUUAUAAUGGACAAAACAGAAAACUCUUAACUCAUUUGAGAAGAGUAAGGUAGCUCUGUUGACUUAUGCGAAUAUAAGCCUUUUUGGGAAGAAAUUUUCAUGUGAUAAUUUCAUUAAGGCUUUCUUUUCACACAUAGAGUCUUGUUGAGGCUUUUGGUCUACAUACAACAACAUGCUUCUAGGGACAUCCUAACUAGUUUUUAAAAGAAAUUUGAUACCUUCCCGUAGAAACACAUAAGUAUGACAUCUUCGCAUUUUAGCCCUGUAUUAAAUUCUCAGCACACAAAGUUUAAAGAACAAAGAAAACAAAAAUAUUUUUGUGAUUUUUGAAUUUUUCAAAAUUAAAAACAUAACAAAAUAAAAUCUUUUUGGAUUUUUAAUUUUUCAAAAUUAAGAACAGAACAAAAUAAAAUCUUUUUGGAUUUUUAAUUUUGGAAAAUUAAGAACAUAACAAAAUAAAAUCUUUUUAGAUUUUUGAUUUUUCAAAAGUAAAAAAAAUUAGUCGUAAACCUUACCUUAGUUGCUAUGAUCUCAGAUGCGAAAAGAUGUGGAUGCAAAGCCAUGCGAAGCCUCUGAAUGAACAGUAAGCUCUGAACAAAUUUGACUCAUAACUGCUGAACUAGACUUUUAGUAAUGUGUUUUUGAAAUUGAAUUCGCAUUAAUCAUCCCCAAACCUGCUAAAAUUCUAACAAAUGAUUUUUCAUCAAGAGGUUUUGUAAAAAUAUCAGCAAGUUGUUCAGUUGUUUUAACAAAAUGAAUUUCAAUAUUCCCAUCUUCCACAUGAUCUUUGAUAAAAUGAUAUCGAAGAGCAAUGUGUUUUGUCUUUGAAUGUUGUACUGGAUUAUGACAAAUGCGAAUUGCACUUUGCGAAUCACAAUACAAAGGAAUCUUUUUCAUGUUUAUUGCAUAGUCACGAAGUUGACUCUGAAUCCAAAUAAUUUGCGAAGUGCAAGCAGCAACAACUAUGUAUUCUGCCUCAGCGGUUGAUAUAGCCACACAAGUCUGUUUCUUUGAUUGCCAACUCACCAACUUCCCAUCCAAUAGUAGACAUCCACCACUCGUACUUUUCCUAUUCAAAGUACAUCCUCCUAGAUCAGAAUCUAAAAAAGCCUUAAUGAAAAACCCCGUUUUCGUAGGAUACCAAAGUCCUAAAGAAACUGUUCCCUUAAGAUAGCGAAAAAUAUUUUUUACUGCAGUCAAAUGAGGUUCUCUGGGAUUAGCUUGAUAUCUAGCACAAUUGCAAACCAAAAACAUAAUAUCAGGUCUACUUGCAGUUAAGUACAAUAAAGACCCUAUCAUGCUUCGAUAAAGUGUUAAAUCAACAGCAGGAGCAUCUAACGAAGGAGUUAGUCUUGUUCCUACUGCCAUUGGUACUCUGAGUUUCGUGCUAUUAGACAUUCCAAACUUUUCAAGCAAAUUCUUCGUAUAUUUUUCUUGAUUGAUUAAGAUUCCAUCCCUGUUCUGUCUUAUGUUUAAGCCAAGAAAAUUAUUAAUUUUUCCCAUCAUGCUCAUUUCAAACUGACUUUUCAUUAGAUUUUCAAAUUCAAUUGACAAUGCUGGAUCAGUUGAGCCAAAGAUAAUAUCAUCAACAUAAAUUUGAACAAGCAUUAGAUGACUCCCAACUUUCUAGCGAAAUAAUGUGGGAUCAACUAAUCCUGGUUUAAAUUUAGAUUGUUUCAAGAAACUUGUAAGUGUUGCGUACCAGGCUCUUGGUGCUUGUUUUAAUCCAUAUACAACUUUGUCUAGGAUAUAAACAUGAUUAGGAUGUUCAUUGCUUAUAAAUCCUGGUGGUUGUUCAACAUACACUGUUUCUUCUAGUUCUCCAUUUAAGAAUGCACAUUUAACAUCCAUUUGAUAAACAUCAAAGUCUUUGUGAGCUGCAUAGGCUAAAAAUAUGCGAACUGCUUCAAGUCUUGCAACAGGUGCAAAUGUUUCUUCAUAGUCUAUCCCUUCUUGUUGCGAAUAACCUUUAACCACUAGUCUAGCUUUAUUUCGAAUAAUAUUGCCAUCUUUGUCGGUUUUGUUUUUAAAAGUCCAUUUUAGGCCGACAAUUGAAACAUCAGAAGGUUUAGAAACUAAUCUCCAAACCUUGUUUCGUUCAAAUUCAGCCAGUUCAGAUUGCAUAGCAACAACCCAAUCUGAGUGUUCCAUAGCAUCCUUUACUAUCUUUGGCUCUAUUUUCGAAAUAAAGACAUUAAACAUACAUAGUUCUUGGUUCGCAUUCAGUACCUCAUUUUUCGCACGAAUUUGAGCUCUAGUCAACACACCAUCUUGUGGAUUACCAAUUACCUGUUCUUUUGGAUGAUUUCUUGUCCAUUUCUCAAGUGGUGGAAAAUUAGGAUCAAAUUCUAAUGGUGCAUCUUCAUACAUAUCUUCAUUUUCAGAUCCUGCAACAGAAAAAUUAUCAUUUAGUUCAUGAAACUCAUCAUUUUCAUCAAGAUUAAUUGUCUCUGUUUCAUCAUGCUCCCCCUCAACAUGAUCUUCAUCUUGAUGCUCCCCCUCAAAAUGAUGUUCCUGUUGAUUCUGCGAAUGCUCCCCCUCAACUUGAUGAUUCAUAAUUUCAUUCUCCCCCUCGAAAGUUGGCUGACUAUCUUCAUGAAUACUCGUAUGUUCCUCCUCCAUACGAAUAUCAGGCGUACUUUCACAAGUUAUCGAUGUUGUAGUUAUUGUUGAAUCAUCAGUAUGUUUUGAGGAUUCUGAUGUUUGAUUAUCAGGAGCAUUAUUUUCUGCGUCAAUUGCCCUGUCAGGAAUUCCGAAAAUUAAGUCAUAAUCAAAAUCAUUGAUUUCAGAAUUAUCAAUUUGAGUAUUUGAAUCCACAAGUAUUGAUUUAUUUUCAAAUUUACUAUCCAUUUGUUUAAGAUAGUAAUCAUCAAACGUUAAAUUGAAAGUUUCUUCAACUUUUCUUGUUCUUUUAUUAAGCACUCUGUAUGCAACUGAAUUCUGUGAAUAUCCUAAGAAUAUGCCUUCAUCAGCUUUAGCUUGGAACUUGGACAAAUUAUCUUUGAGAUUCAUGAUAAAGCACCUGCAACCAAAAACAUGAAAGAAUUUUACAUUAGGUUUCCGAUUAUUGAUUAUUUCAUAUGGAGUAACAUUGAAUCUUCGAUGAAUGAAUGAUCGAUUCUGAGUAAAACAUGCAGUGGACACUGCUUCUGCCCAAAGAUAUUGAGGUAGAUUCGCAUAUGUUAACAUGGUUCUGGCUGCUUCGCAUAGAGAUCGAUUUCUUCUUUCAACAACACCAUUUUGUUGUGGAGUAUAUGGUGAUGAGAAAUUAUGCGAAAUGCCUUUGCUUGUGAGAAAAAUAUCAAGAGUUUGAUUUUUAAACUCAGAACCAUUAUCACUUUUAAUUUUUCGUACAUUCUUCUUCAGACUAAGUUCAAUCUUUUUGAUAAAAUCAAUCAUCGUCUGAGCAACUUCAGAUUUCAACCUGAGAAAAAACACCCAUGUGAAUCGAGAGAAAUCAUCUACAACAACUAAAAUAUACCGCUUUUUAUUGAUUGUUGCAACAGUCGACGGUCCACAUAAGUCAAUGUGAAGAAGUUCCAAUGGUUCUACGAUUUUUGAAUCUAUCACAAUCGGAUGACCUUUUCGAUGUUGUUUUCCUUGUUCGCAAGCUGCACACAAAGAAUCAUUGUCAAAUUUUAGUACUGGUAACCCUCGAACUAAAUCUUCAGUGACAAGUUUAUUAAUAUUUCGAAAGUUCAAGUGUGACAAUCUUCUAUGCCAAAGCCAGCUGAGAUCAUUAGAUGCUUUUGAUAGUAAACACACAGCAGGUUUUCCCACAAUUGGUUUGAUGUCCAGUGUAAACAUAUCACCAUAUCUUUUGGAUUUGAGAAGUAUUUCAUUUGACUUCGCAUUUGAAAUGAUACUUCCUUCUUCAUUAAAUACAACUUGAUUUCCAGUACCAACAACAAGUUGUGACACGCUUAUCAAAUUAUGUUGAAGUCCUUCAACAUAAGCAACUCUGUUCACAGUGAAUUUUCCAUUUGUGACUUUCCCAUAGCCUUUCACUUGACACUUGUGAUUAUUCCCAAAUUUGACUACUCCAGCAUUUUCCAAGCUUCUAUAAUCUCGCAAGUUUUCCUUUCUUCCAGUCAUAUGACGAGAGCAACCACUAUCAAUAUACCAUUUCGAAUCAUAUUGCUCGUCACACAUCACCUGCAUUUAUUGAAAGAAUUUAGGAACCCAAGACUUGUUGGGUCCAUCAUUAGUAGAAUGAAACAAAUUCUUGGAAUUUAAAAACCAUGUUUUCACUUUGUUUGUGACAGAAUCCAUUAUAUCAACAUCAUCAGAUCUAGAUAUUGAGAUAUAGUCAUUCAAUAGUUUUGGAUUUCCAUUGAUUGUAAUCUUAUCCUUCACAACAUUCGCAUUUUUGAUAACUGGUUUCCAUUUUUGAACCGGAACUUGCGAAUUAUGAGAUGUUGAACUAGCAGUGGAAGAGUUAUUUGCGAACUUAUCAAAUGCAUUCUUGAUUUGUUGCUCUGAAAACUUCCCACUUUGAUAUUUUCUUCCUUUCCCUUCAAACCAACGAUUGAUCGUACUUACAUCAGAUUUUCCUUUUGUAUAUGAAACUUUGGUCGGUUUUGAGACUGAAGGAUUUGGAAAAUUUGGUUGUUUUGGUGAAAAUUUCACUUUUGCUUGAGUUGAAUUUUUCAAACUUGAUGAAGUAUUCGUGAAUUUGCCAACAUUUUGAAACUUUUGAUUAUUUGCAAAUUUUUGCGAAUUCUCAAAUUUUCGAUUGUUGUCAUAUUUGCGAAUAUAUGGAACCUUGUCAACAGAGUUUAUUGGUUUAUGAAAACUUGAAUCUGUUUGUUUAUUUUUGUUUUGAAAUUUUGAUGAUGUUUUUGAAAUUUGUUCUUUUUCAUCUCUUGGUUUGUCAUUAGACACAACUUGCCAGAAAAUUGCUUUUCUUGCUUUUCUUUUUGAAACAUUAUUUUCUGUUGAAUAAUUUCCAACCAUCAAUUUGAAUUCAUGAGAAUUUAAUUUCACUUCAGCCUUUGAUUUUUCAACUUUUUCAAAAAUUUUGUUUGGUUUUUCACCUUUAACCACCCAUUUUUGUAAUGAUUUUUGUUUUUGAAACACAUAAGAAUUUUGAGUUAAAUUGUUUUCUUCUGUGUUUUGAUUUGCGAAAAAACCUUCUGUGGUUGACUUUAGAUUAUCUUUUUCAAUCAUUUUGUUGAAUUCAGGAUGAACUUUCUCAGCAUUUCCAGUAGUGACAAAAACUUGAUUUGGAAAAAUGGUUUUAUCAGUGCAUACAAAAUUUGGAUAUACCACAGUGUUGGUUUCCAAAUAAUGUGCGCCUUUGUCAUUUAAAAUUUUGUCAAAUUCUUUUGUAUUUUCAAACACUUGAUCAACCACAACUCGUUGAGGUGUUUCAUUUGAAUCUUUCUUUUCUUCUCUGUUUUCUUCAUUAUCAUCAGAUUUCCAGCUUUCAACUUCCACAUUAUCAAACUUACAAUGUUGUGAAGUUAAAGGUUUAUCAAUUUCAUCCUCUACUAUCGAAUCAACAAUAAUUUCUUUACCUUUAAUCUUAGAUGUGAUAUUAACUAUUGACAAUUGAGAACAAUCUACCUCUUCUUCCUCUUCUAUCUCACUGAUUUCACUCACAUUAUCUGAAUUUUCAUCAAUAUCAGCAUAAUUGAAUUGUGAGGCAAGAGUUGAAUUUUCUGUUUUCUUUAAGAUUUUCACUUGUUCACUCUUUGUCAAACUUUCAUUGACAAUGUUAACCAACUCAUCAGCAUUCAGAAAUUCAUCAAUUUUGACAAUACCAUAUGUAUAUCUAUCAUCAGGUAUUUUGUCAAAUUGAGCAAUUGUACUUUCACAAUCAUAAGAAACAACAUCAACUUUUUCACGUUCAUAUUCAAGAAAAGGUAACAGUUUCCUAUGUUGUUCUUUGCUAAUGUCAGAAGAAUGAUGUAAAGCAGUUAAUUUUGCAUAUAGCCGUUUGGCAGAAUUACAAUAUAUGUUCCUUUGUGCUAGCAACAACCUAACAUCAUUUGUAAGAUUAUUCCUAUCACAAUCUAUAUUUUUGAUCUGCAUUUCAAGUUUUUCUACUCUGCUCCUCUUUAUUUCUAAUUCUCUCCGUGUCUCACCUAGUUGCAUACUUAAUUUUUGAGCUUCAGUACUAGCAGACACAAUAACAGAAUCAAAAUAAGCCACAGUUUCAUCAAAUGAAACAAUUUCAGCAUCAUAAGCAGAUAAAGGAAUAUUAAAAGAUUCAAGUAUUGCACGUACCUUGGUUGUCAUGGGUGAUUUGUCUGUGGAUUUGGAUACGAAGCACCUUCCUGAAAUUUCCUCUUCGCAAUCUUCAAAACUUGCGAACAUUGCUCCAUGUGUGGGAUGCCUCAUUUCCUCGUCAUCAGAUCCUGAAGACCAGAUCUGAUACGUACCACUUUCUUCAUUAUCAGUUUCACCUUUCGCAACCAAAGACACUCCUUUGGUCUUAGCACGUAUCUCUUCAAUCUUUUCAGAGUAGUAUGCUUCAUCUUUAACUUUUUCCUUCUUCUCUUCUUUCUUUCGCAACAUGCAAUCAGCUGCAAAAUGAUUCGCACCGUUGCAGUAGUGACAGUAAAUUCCUGAAUCACCUUUCAGCUUCUUCUCUUCUUUCGCAUCUUUUUGUUUCUCAUCAGCUUUCUCCAAUUUCUUCCUCUCCUCCCCUCCAGUUCUUGUGACUGCAUUUUUCACAUCACUAGCCUUUCCUUUUGGAUUAAAAGGCUUUUUGAAAAACUUCUUAACUCUGUUGUUUGAAUAGAAUGCCACAGCUUCAUCAUCAGAGUUCAUCAAAAAUCCUUCUUCAUCUGAACCAUCUUUUUCAUUAACAUCAGUUUCUGAUACCUUUGAAACAAGAGCCAAAGGACCUCCAAUACUUUGUUUUGAUUCUUCAUACAUUUCUGAAACUUCACAUUCAUGUGUUUUCAGUUGAUUGUAGAGAUCAUUCAAUUUAGUUGUAUCAAAACUCUGUUGAUUCUUAAUCAUCAUGCUCACACUUCGCCAUUCCUUGCGAAGACCCAUAAUGAAAGUUAAAUUGAACUCCAUGAGAGACCUAGUGAUUCCAUACCUAUUGCAGCGAAACAUAAGCUCAUUCAGACGAUCAUAGUAAUUUUCAAGAGUUUCUGCAUCCUUUUGUCUGAAUUCCUUCAGUUCAACUAGACAUUGCUUCACAGAGUUGAUCUUCGUCUUUUCGCUACCUUGAUACUUCUCUUUUAGAGUGUUCCAGAUCUCCUUGGCUGUUUUACAACUACGGAUGUAAUUGUAAACCACAGGAGGUAGAGCACCUCUUAGUUCCCUCAUGCACCUCUUUUCAUUAUUCUUCAACCGUUUUUCUUGAUCAGCAACUUCAGUAGAUGUAGUAGAUGGACCAAUUGGUUGAACAUUAACAGGAGCUUGCACUGUUCCAUCGAUACAAUUCCAAAGUUCUUCAUCAAUUCCAUUUAAGUAAUCUUCCAUUCUAUCAGCCCACUGAUCAUAGUAUUCUGGAAUUAACAUCGGAAUUUUGGUUGAAGAACCAAGCAAGUGAGAGAAGGAAGUCAUUGUAUUCAUGUUGAAGUUCGCCAUUGAUGAACACAGAAAUUUUCAGAAAGCUUGAAAAACUUGAUGAAAUAGAGAAUUUGAUCAAUUGAAUUGAUCACAAAUCACUAAUCGAUUACUCGACUUAACAAUUCAAAGACAGAAUCAAUUCAAAUCUGAAGAUCAAAAGUGAUUUUUAAAACCAAAAUGCGCGGAAAAUUCUGAGUAAAGUUGCAACUCAAAAGCAAAUGAUUCUAACACGAAAAUCAGAUCGAAGCAGUUUGAAUCCUGCUCUGAUACCAAUUGAUGAGAAUUGUUAUCGAGAUUUGAGAAAGCAAAGUUUGAUUUGAGUGAUUGAAGAUUUAGAACACGAAGAGUAAAUAUUAAUCAGAUCUUAUAUUGAUGAAGACUGAUUACAAUAUAAGUAGAAAGGAGAUAUCUGUUAAGGAAAAAAGUCCCUUUCUACUUCUAACCUCAGUCCUUAUUUAUAGGGAACAUGAGUGUACAAAAAAUAUACUAUGUCUAGACAUUUACAUUUCGCACAAAAAUGACUAAGUAAAAUAACAUAAAAUGCGAAACAAUACAAGACACAAUAUUCGACUUUUACAAUUUUACAUCUACACUUUUGCUUGAUAUUUUUACCACCAAAUACCCCUGGAAGUUAGUUGAUAUGCUACUCAAAAUUAUAGAUUCAAAACAGUGAGUAAACUACCCUUUUCUUACUCUUUUGCUGUGAAGUUUUCGUGACAGCAACAUAGCCAAAACAGUGGCUGUUUUGGAGCAUCAAACCAACACCCAAAAGUUCUUCAUCUUCAACCUUCCAUUCUUCAAGUAUUCACAUAAGGUGAGUUCAUACCCCUACAUUUUCAUGUUUUCUUCAAGUUUUAAGGGGGGGAAUACAAGUUAGAACACUAAACAUAACUUAAAUUUAAAUGACAGCUUUCUACAGAAAAGUUGAGUCCUGUUCACAGACUGUUUUGACGAUAUUAAACUUAAUAUCUUUCAAAACUGUACAAUACAAAAAUAGUUCAAGUUUAUAACUUUUUAAGGACUACUCGCACGCAUUCAUACGAUUUUUCUACAAUUU